UCUUUUGGAUGUGAAUGCUGUAAGGAGC
rnacentral:piRNA from 1 species